rnacentral:rRNA from 1 species
GAUGAACGCUGGCGGCGUGCCUAAUACAUGCAAGUCGAGCGAACAGACGAGGAGCUUGCUCCUCUGACGUUAGCGGCGGACGGGUGAGUAACACGUGGAUAACCUACCUAUAAGACUGGGAUAAAUUCGGGAAACCGGAGCUAAUACCGGCUAAUAUCUUGAACCGCAUGGUUCAAUAGUUACAGACGGUUUUGCUGUCACUUAUAGAUGGAUCCGCGCCGCAUUAGCUAGUUGGUAAGGUAACGGCUUACCAAGGCGACGAUGCGUAGCCGACCUGAGAGGGUGAUCGGCCACACUGGAACUGAGACACGGUCCAGACUCCUACGGGAGGCAGCAGUAGGGAAUCUUCCGCAAUGGGCGAAAGCCUGACGGAGCAACGCCGCGUGAGUGAUGAAGGUCUUCGGAUCGUAAAACUCUGUUAUUAGGGAAGAACAAAUGUGUAAGUAACUAUGCACGUCUUGACGGUACCUAAUCAGAAAGCCACGGCUAACUACGUG